AGCGAACGCUGGCGGCAGGCCUAACACAUGCAAGUCGAACGAACCCUUCGGGGUUAGUGGCGGACGGGUGAGUAACACGUGGGAACGUGCCUUUAGGUUCGGAAUAACUCAGGGAAACUUGUGCUAAUACCGAAUGUGCCCUUCGGGGGAAAGAUUUAUCGCCUUGAGAGCGGCCCGCGUCUGAUUAGCUAGUUGUUGAGGUAAUGGCUCACCAAGGCUACGAUCAGGAGCUGGUCUGAGGGGAUGACCAGUCACAUUGGGACUGAGACAAGGCCAAAAAUCCUACGGGAGGCGGCAGUGGGGAAUCUUGCGCAAUGGGCGAAAGCCUGACGCAGCCAUGCCGCGUGGAUGAUGAAGGUCUUAGGAUUGUAAAAUCCUUUCACCGGUGAAGAUAAUGACUGUAGCCGGAGAAGAAGCCCCGGCUAACUUCGUGCCAGCCGCCGCCGUAACAC
rnacentral:rRNA from 1 species